AUUCUCACAUUGAAUGAUAAUAUGGAGACCUCUCUAGCUCAUCCCUUUAUGGCUAUGUACCUGGAUUGCUUUUUGAACAUCGAAUUGUAACAUUAUUUGAGGAGUCACAAUCUAUUUUUUAAAUAAAAAUGCACCGGUGCAUCAUAAAGAGCUUCAGAAAAUUAUAGGCAAAAGAAAAGUAAAUUACAGGCCAUUAUAUUUCUAAAAUAUGCAAAUGCUAGUAAAUUAGAACAUGAUUGUAUUACUGUUCUUUGCAGGGAACAGAUUUAACAAUUCAAAUACAAGAUGUAAUUUUUUAAGUGCUGAGAUCUAACAAUAAAUUAGAAAUUAAAAUUAUACAUAUGUUGAGUUACAGCUUGAAUUUCAUAGAUAAUAAUUUCAUAAUAGUAGACAAAAAUGCAAACUGCAUAUAGCUUAAAUGUUCUCUUUCUAUUUAUAUGAAAGUUGGCCACUCUUUUCUUACAUGGGUAAGAUAAGUAUACAAAGACAUAUUUUUAAUGCUAUAUCCACAUUCCUGCAAGAAUUAGACAACUUAACCUAUGUUCUUUUACAUAUGGGUGGAACAAUUUUCACCAGCUUUUAAAAGUUUGGAAAGACACAUGGAAUUUAAGCCAAAUGAAAUGACCUGAUGAUUGCCGAGCUUUCCAGAGAGAAGAGAAAUGAAUAGUGCAAAUGAGAUUUCAGCAUUUUCCCCAUUCAUUUCCAGUUCCUGGGAGGGACUUCUUGUUUCUUGGUUGACAAAAUAUUAUCCUGGGUUCCUCCGCUCUUCUGGAGUGGCGGCUAGUGGUGAACUAUUAAUAAGAGGUCCCGUACAGAACACGAUCGUCACCUAGUGGCCACAAACAAAACUCCUGCAUGGCUUUUCCUGGCCAGCCACAAGUGAUGCAGUAAGAACAGCAUCUUUGGAAGAGAAAAGAGACAUUUGCUAUCUGAUCAUUUUGGGGGGAGUGGAAAGAACAGGCAAGAAAAGGAAAGCAA
rnacentral:lncRNA from 1 species